CAUUGGCCUCUCCCUCUUUCUCUCUCCUUUUCCCCAUCAUUGUUGGGUUCAUGUAUAGACAGAGCACAGGAAAUUUGUCGUUGUUUUGCUCUGUGUUUUGGCCGGACCAAGCGAUGGAGAGUAGCGGUGGAUCUGUCAGCUUUUGGAGAGCUUCAGCAAGACAAAUAGGGGAGGUCCGCUACUGCUCGAUCUGCCGCUUGGUCCGGCCAAAACGCGCAGGAAAAAAAAAGAGAAGGGCAGAUCAAUUGGUGUUCUCUACUGGUGGUUUCGACUGUUGCCGGUGUUUUUAGUGAGCAUGUUGCCGCAAUCUCCAUUUCUACCGAAGAAAGGGCAUUUCUCAUGUAUUGUGGUUGUAGUUGAUCCAUUGUCGAGCUUUUGUUUUCCGAUCUUGAUUGAAGCAUUGAUUCAGGAGUGGAGCUCUGUGCAUUUCUUGGGAACUAAAUGUUUUCAGCUGGACUUCAUUGAUCGGGUUGUAUCGUACGUUAGGUGACUAUGAAGAGACAAUAAGGUUGAAUUGUAGACAGCCGGAUCACUACAUCUUUCCCACAGCAUGCUCUGAGAAGAAGAAUUAUCAAGUGGGAAGGUUGUGUAUGAUUACAUGCUGAGAAUUGAGUUUGAGGCAACAUUUUUCCGUCAUGGGGGAAGACAAUGUCGUUGCCGGAAAAGAGUGAUUUAAACUGCCAUUGUUGUAAUCCUUUUUUCAGUAAUUCAAUCCAUAACAAAAGGGGUUUAGACCGC